rnacentral:pre_miRNA from 1 species
GACUCUGUGUCUGGUAGGCAGUGCUUUGCUAGUUGGCUGCUGUACCUGGAUGUAGCAGUCACUGCUGCACUGCCACCUGCUGCAGGGCUG